UACCGCGGCUGCUGGCACGUAGUUAGCCGUCCCUUUCUGGUAAGUUACCGUCACUGUGUGAACUUUCCACUCUCACACACGUUCUUCUCUUACAACAGAGCUUUACGAUCCGAAAACCUUCUUCACUCACGCGGCGUUGCUCGGUCAGGGUUGCCCCCAUUGCCGAAGAUUCCCUACUGCUGCCUCCCGUAGGAGUCUGGGCCGUGUCUCAGUCCCAGUGUGGCCGAUCACCCUCUCAGGUCGGCUAUGUAUCGUCGCCUUGGUAGGCCGUUACCCCACCAACUAGCUAAUACAACGCAGGUCCAUCUACUAGUGAUACAUUUGCAUCUUUCAAGCAUCUAACAUGUGUUAAACACUGUUAUGCGGUAUUAGCUAUCGUUUCCAAUAGUUAUCCCCCGCUAGUAGGCAGGUUACCUACGCGUUACUCACCCGUUCGCAACUCCUUCUACUCUAGCAAGCUAAAGUAGUCAGCGUUCUACUUGCAUGUAUUAGGCACGCCGCCAGCGUUCGUCCUGAGCCAUGAUCAAACUC
rnacentral:rRNA from 1 species